AGCGCUUUUGACAACACUGUUAUAGGAGUCGACCUUGCAAGGGAGUAUACUGUAUAGAACAGUUUUCCUAGUUCUAUGAGGAUUCCUAAUUAGUAUAGGUUUCCUAGUGAAGUAUACUCCUGUAUAUAAAUACCUAUGUACUCUUAAUUGAAAUCAAUGAGAAAAACACCUUUCUCUUCAAAAUCAAUCAAAUGGUUCUAAGAGGCAUGAUUUGAUGAUGUGAUUUUCGCUACUGAUCUUUUCAAAUACUAGUUAGGUCAAAUUUGAAAUCACUUCUAAGGCUUUGGGAAGGAGGUGGAAUUUGUGUCAAAUUGGAUUAUCUUCUUUUGUCAUUUAAUAAUGUGAGCUGGGACGUGUUGGUUUUGCAACUUGGUAUUUAUUUGGUUAUGUCUAAGACAGUAUUUGAUUUGCUUCUGUUUCAAAAAGCAUUCAUGGAAAGUAGUGCACUUUUUUUGCAUGGAGGAUAUUGCCACUAGCAAAUGAUCUCCAGUUUGUAGGUGAGAGUUCAUGAAUAGGUUUUGUGUCAUUAGCUUUCUCCCUCAUGCAAAAGUCCACUGGCCUUGAAUGUGGACAAAAAUAGGCCUAAUUCUACCUUUCAUCGAACUUUAGUUGAUAAUAUGGGGUGCUCAUGAUUGAAGCUUUGGACAAUUUGUUGAAGGGUCUUUGUUAUCGUAUCAAAGAAUCACUCGAUUUAAAAGUUCUAGCUUAUAGCUAAAGGUCCAAGAAUAAUUUUUGUAUUUCUAUCAGCCUCCAUGCAUGAUUUGGAUUAAAUGAGGUGAGAGGAAUUUACAACUUAUGAAGGAGAGAACCUUGAGAGGUCAACAUGGGUUUGAAGUAGCUUAUUGUUAUAUAUUCUUUCAAGUUUGGCUCUAAGCAUAACAUUGUGGAAGGAAAGGAUCCAUGUAAUGGAACCACCAAUCACUAUUUGAGAAUUAAGUUUGAUUGAAGGAUGCCU
rnacentral:misc_RNA from 1 species